AUUGUUGAUAGAUAAUAGGCACACAUACUAGGUGUCGAAUUCCAUCUGGUGGAAUGGGGUUAUCAAAACAAUAACAACCAU
ensembl:ncRNA F52E1.17 ncRNA